GAGCCCCUUCAACCUCUUCCAGUCCUUUCUCUGAUUCCUUCAACUGGGGUCCCGUUCUCAGUUCAGUGGUUUGCUGCUGGCAUUCGCCUCUGUAUUUGCUGUGUUCUGGCUGUGUCUCUCAGGAGCGAUCUACAUCCGGCUCCUGUCGGCCUGCACUUCUUUGCUUCAUCCAUCUUGUCUAAUUGGGUGGCUGUAUAUGUAUGGGCCACAUGUGGGGCAGGCUCUGAAUGGGUGUUCCUUCUGCCUCUGUUCUAAACUUUGCCUCCCUCUUCCCUGCCAAGGGUAUUCUUAUUCCCCUUUUAAAGAAGGAGUAAAGCAUUCACAUUUUGAUGCAGAGUUCUUCAUAUGAAGGGAUCUCUGUUUGCUCAGUUUUUAAUUCAACUUCCACAGAUUGGGGUUCCUCGGUGACUGAGUCGUACCGCGAGACUUGGCUCGUUGACUGAGUAUAGCACGUCGUACCGUGAGAGUGACCCUGUAAAAUCUCGCUGACUACUGACACUACCAAAGCUUUGAACACUAACCACAUUGAAAUUAUGAUUGAUUAGUUAACUGGUAUCAUGGGUGAAGAUGGGCAUUUUAUGUUAACUUAAAACACAUAAAUGGAUGUUUAUACAUAGAUUUUUUUCUCUUUUUUUAGAGCAUGGUAGGUUCCACUGCAGAAGGUCCCUCUAUUAACCAAUGAUACAUCACUGUCCGUAUUCUCAUUAUUUCUUUGCCGUUGGAAGAAAAUAACUUAAGGAACUUAAAGCUGGGUGGUGGUAGCACGUGCCUUUAAUCCCAGCACUCAGACCACUGAGUUUGAGGCCAGCUGCUGUACACAGUGAGUCCCAGGGCAGACAGGGUUACACAGAGAAAUCAUGUCUCAAAAACCAAAAGAAAGAGAAAAGAAAAAAAAAAGAAAGAAAAAAAGAACUUAUAAUAUUGUAAAUGCUCGAUCAUAAUGUGUUAUUAUUAAUAAUUAUUUAUCUUAAUUUGCUUGCAUGUGUCUGUUUCCAUUUAAGUAAUUGUGGUAUUCAUUAUCAUUUGUGUUUAUGGAGACUUCCCAAAACAUUUAAGUUUCGUAGAAAUACUAGCUUUAUUUUCUUAUUCGUGGUUUAUACAUUUUAAAAGUGUAAGUCCCGUUAGGUUCUGAUGCCGUAAAAAUUUAAGUGGCAAAACUAGAUUUUGAAGCAAACAGCUGCAUUAUGGAACAUGUCUGACAUGCCGGUCUAGAACCGAACAGUCAAGAAACUUGAUUAUUAGUUAACGUGUAACAGUGGGACAGGGAAUCUCCCAGCAUUUUAGAAAGUUUUGAAUGUUUAUUAAUGAUUUUUAAAAAUCAAGUAAGUAAACAGAAGUUUUGGUGGAGCAUCUGGUGGAGUGCCCAGUCACCAGCAGAGCAAAGCAAUCCUUGUCAUCUCUGAGUCUUCUGGACAGGCAAGGACAGUUUCUUUCCUAAGAACUAUGCUUAGUCAUUUCCAUAAACUAAAAACACCUCCAAAUGUGCACAUAAAGGACACCACCUACCCCUGGGUGAUGUGUUUGUGAUUCACGGUCCAGUGACUCAACUCUGCAUCCAAGACAGCCAAGGUCCAGAGGAAUGAGGUCCCUCCCAAAAGGUCAAACUUGUAGAGCGUCUCACCCCGUGGUCAAUUGUUUUCCUUCGCGUGCACCUGUGCCCUGCUGGCAUGCAGGGCUCACCUGUGUGGGUCAAGAAGAUGCGCUCAGCCUGGGUGUGUCUUCUUCACACAGCCAAUGAGUUCUUCCUUCACAGCGGUCUGACAUAGUGUGAUUCAUGGACGUUUCCAGAGGUAAUACCAAUGACAGUGACCUUCUCAAGAGAUUUCCCAUACUUCUGUAUCAAUUUGGGGAUGGAAAACAUUUCCAAACUCUUGUCACGCAAAUGGGAAGUCCAUAUUUAAAGAAUUAUAGCUAAUAAUGUAAGUUUAAGAAUUAGACGUGGGUGGUGAUUCUAAAUUGUAAAUUAAUUUCCACACGGUUAUGUCAAGACCAGGUUAUUCAAAGUUGCUAAUUCAUGAGACUAUGGAUGUCCCUCUCUAGCCACUCAUCAGUUUUAAUUUAAUUUUAAUUCUCCAUGAGUUUAGGAAACCAUUGCCAACCAUAGGCUAAAGAUAUUUGGAACGUUCCAGAACUAGAUAAUCCACAAGCUUUCUAUAGCCUGGUUUUCUGGACCACAUGAUAAAAUCUAUGCUGGCUCUUUUUCAUCUUGUCUAGAGUGUGACUUCUCCCUUGCUCAGUGUAGCUGCUCUCCCAUUAGUUACGUGGACACACCUUGGUUAUGUGAUUGUAGAGAACUCGGUGCUUACUCAAUUAGCCCUGUUCAACAAUAGCGUAAGGGUGCCGAUGCCAGACCUUCAGACACAGCAAAGAGAAAGGAUGGUACAGCUUUUCCACAAAAACAUAAACAUACACGACUUAAUAAGGAGAGAAAAAUUACACGUUGAGGCUGCUACCGUUUAUAGAACAUUGCUGUUAACCUCAUGUUGUACCUAAUUUAUAAAUUAAACUCUAUCCUAAGUGUGACUUCAUUAGAAGAGAAAAUAUACGACAUACAAAGACUUUGGUGUUGUCUACUGUUUGGGGUAUUGGCUGAGGCCUUGCAGUACAUCCUCCACAGAUGCAGGGAUAUUGCCGAAUUGCCUUGUUAGGGAAAUAAGUUCUGUGAUGUGGGGAGGCAGACAUGUUGCAGGGAUAAUCCCUGGAGAUUCUGGUGAGGCUGCAGUUAUGGGCAAUGCUUUUUACUUUAUUAAAGAAAUAAAGCAAAGUGCAGGGUGACUCCAGAGGGAAUGAGCAGAAUUUAAUCUUAUUGCUACAAGGGGGAAGAGAGCCAAACAAAGCAUGAGUCUCCCAGGGCCAUCACUGCACUUAAAGCAUAGCUCACAUGGGAUGCCCUAUUCCCAAUCUAUCUUGAGCUUUAUACAAAGGGAACAAGAAUGAAGAACAGUAGAGGAGAACCAGGGUGAGGCUCAGUGGAAGACACCUGCCUAGUAUGCCUGAGGUCCCAGACUUGAUCCUCAGUGCUAAAGAAAACACAACACAGGACAUUGUAGCUUGUACUAAAGUUGACAGUUCAGUUUGCCAAUGUUCUGCAGGAGCCCAUUGUAAGCUGGCACAUUCUUUGAUUAUGACCAAUGUCAGAUUGUUGUCCUUGUCCUGAUCUCAUGCAUUGAACCCACCAAGUCUUCCAAGGACUCUCUAUUCAGAGAGAGAGAGAGAGAGAGAGAGAGAGAGAGAGAGAGAGAGAGAGAGAGAGAGAGAGCACGCGCGUGUGUAUGUACCUUUGAAACAAUGUGUAUCAGCCAUUGAAAAAUUAUUAAUGUGCCUAUUGUAACUCUCCUGCUUUUAACCUCUUGGGGGCAAGAUAUUGACUUAUGUUUCAUUGAACUUCAUUAUUAUUUAUAGAAGGAAGAAGCUCAAAGAGAGGAAACUAGUAACUGCUAUAUGAUCAAGCCACUUUGAACUGAAUGUAUCUUUCCAACCUGCUACACAGGCCUGAAAUUCAACCACUGGUGGCACAUUUGCCAGACUUAAGUAUUGUUUAUCUAUUUGGCAAGUAGUUCAACAGGCCAUUCUUACUGUUUUCUUAAUAUGAAUUUAAGUACAUAUAAUAAUAAACAUUAUUUCCUAGGGAUAUAUGAGUCACAGAGUACUCCUGAACAGGACACCCAGAACAGACUAAAGAGAUGGUUACAUCCAACUAAUAAACUUAUUUGUUCCCUUAAAGGAUCAUGGUCAAAGAGAUACUUAGAAGGCAAUAGGUGCCUUUCAGGUCAUUGUAGCACCAAACAAGUCCUUUUCUAGCAUGGGUGAUACUUUCUGAAAGACGAUCCCUGGGGUUUUUGUACAACUUGCGGGCAGCUCCACUGAAGAGUCUCUUUUUCCCUAGGGAUGGCUUCCUGUUUCCGUAAUGUCAGGGAGGGUCCUCAUGAACCUAGGCUUUUGAGCAUUGUGUGUCAACUUUGUGCAUUUUCUGAACCUCUAACUUUCAAUAGCUUACUGGCUCUUAUUAACCUUCUUCAUCCCUACAGGGAGGGACGUUCCAAUUAGAGGACAUAGCUUUUGGGCUGUGGUUUGAAACAGACUACUGAAGGAGAGGAAGAGGGGCAGAGGUACAGAAAGGCAGGCAUGAAGCCCACACCAAGAUUCCGACAUGUAAUUGCUCAGACUUGAGGUUGCCCUGGAAUGUGGCAAGUGGGAUUGCUUCAACCCUUUGCCCCUGAGAAGCAGCUGGACUCAUCUUCACCACAUGAAAGCAUCUGCCAUUCUUCCGUCGAUCUGUGGCAGACACAGUGGUUGUGGCUACCUUGACAGCUAAGCCUGCUUGGAGCUUUCUAAUGGAGGCUCCGGUUCGUACCAUCUGUUCCUCAUCACCUAAAAUUGUGGUUGUUUUCCUGAAAGGCCAAAGAUGGCCAAUUUAUCCCGAAACUGAAAAUCAAUACGCCUCUAACCUUAUGUGGCCCAGAUUUUAGGAAUAACAUCCUGGCUUCAUUCGGAAAUGUUCCACCUUGCUUUAAUUCUUGGAAAAUAGGGAUCAUUCAAUAUUCCCCUCUCCAGAUGUCUUCAGCCAGCAUCCAGCAGUGAGCCAGAAGGCUGUGUGUUAGACAGGGUUGGAGACCGCAGGGCACUGUCCAAUCAUAUAUCCUGAUGCUCUUGUCAGAAGCCACACUGCAAAUGGCCAUGGGCUCACUAGGUCAAGCAAUGGUAGGCUCUCGCUGUGUAAAAUUUGGGAUUAUUUUCACUGCGGAAGACUUUAGGGUAGAAUUAGGGCAAGUGUUCUGGUGUUUAUGUAUGUGAAGGUUGGACAAAGAAAGUACUGGGUGAGCUUGUAAAUUCAAGGAAAUAAAACGACCCAACUUCCUUAUCUCUCCA